UCCUUAUUCAAAGUUAUCAUCAUAGUUUAGGCUCUCAUUACUUUCUGCUUGGACUAUUGCAAUAGUUUUUUAAUUGGACUC
rnacentral:pre_miRNA from 1 species